CAAAACGUAUGGGUGGACCAAUGUCCGUGUACCAGGCCGUCUACCUUUUGGGCUGAGCCGUGGAACAAUUACGUCGGAGCGAACCUGAGCCGUUCUGGAAGCCUGCCGCCGGCACGGACGGCUGCCCUUCCCCAAGGCUGCGGGAGGCUGCGGUUCCUCCGGCGGCCGGCGAUGUAAGAUGCUGGGCUUGAAUCCUUCUGGAUGCGGUCAACCAGUUUCCGGUGCGAGCGGAGUUCGCGGACAGCCUGGAACAUCCAGAUCCGGUGCCUCUUGCGGUGCUCCUGCGACGUGAUGCCACCCCUGCUACGCCGGCGGAUUCGAAUGCGGGCUCCGGGUGCAGGCAGCACGUUGGUUGCGCUAGCCCUGGGAGGAUGCAGGGUGAAAAUCGCUGUCGACAGCCGGGCUCUCCGACGAGGUCUGCGCAGUCCACCCACAGGGUAAAUCCAGAGGCGCCGGGAUGGACCAAAAGGUUACAUCUUGGGAGUGCGCCACCGGACAGAACGCCGUGUCCAUAUAGGAUGAGUGCUUUAGAGCAGUCAAUUCGCAAGUAUGCCCCUGCUCCCCGCUCGUCGCAGUCCUGGCAUCCCGCUUGUCCCCACAUGCGUCGUCUUUGUGUCUCCGCCGGUGCCACCACUACUCGCUGCUCGUUGCUGCCAGUCGAGCAAGAUGUCCGGUGCUGCGGUGGACAAGCACAAGACGCCAACGGAGGAAGAGAAUAGGAAUCCGGCGUGGGAGGAUGAGGACAAGGAUCAGGCGAGAAAGGAGGUGGUUAUAGGUCUGAUACUUAGCAUGAUUUAUUUUCAGUAUUCUCUGUAGUUUAUAAGCAGCAAAUGCCACCAGGGAAUGCUCCAUGUUGUAAGAAAAUUGUGAAUUCUGAACCUAGUCAAGUGCUUCUACUACAAGCAACUGUUACAAUGAAGAAAAAGCCAUCACUGGUUUAUCACAGCAGAAGGUGGGUGCAGGAGAUGAUGAUGAUGCGCUGCUAAUAUUGGACUUGCCAGCGGUAAGCUCAUUUUCAUACUCAAGAAACAUGCUUGUGGCCCUAACAAGUAACACUACCUGACAUUUUCUUACUCUUAUGCACAUGGACAGUAUGCAUAAUGCCACCUGAAGCAUUUUGGUACUGCAUGUCAGUAUGUGUAAUGAUUUAUUUUUAGUAUUCUCAUUUCAGCAAAGGGUCAUUUUUGUGGCAGCCCAGAGAUAGGAAAACUGUGUCUAGUCAAGACCUACUUAGCAACAAAGAGUCUUCAGAGCAGCUGCCAUUGACUUGGAAAAGUUCAGCACUAAAAUUUGAUGUUCAGGAGAAUCAAAUUCAUCAUAAAUAAGGGGCUGCCAUUGACUUGUUGUUCAUCGCAAAGUUCAGGAGAAUCUGAAUGUAUGUUCACAACUAUGAAAUCUGGUGUUCAAGCACAUGUUCAGGAUGAAAUCUGAAACCUGAAUCUGAUGUUUAAGCUAGCAGUGAUGUAUGCUCACUGAAAUUAUGUUAGUUUUAAAACUGCUCGUUGCUGCAUUUGAUAAACUGAAUCUAACACUGUAUCAAAUGGACCGAAGAUUUGCUCAUUGCUGCAAGUCUUAAUGUAGUUUUAACAUUGUUCAGGACUGAAAUCUGAAUGUGAAACUGAUA